rnacentral:rRNA from 1 species
UACGUAGGGUGCGAGCGUUGUCCGGAAUUAUUGGGCGUAAAGAGCUUGUAGGCGGCUCGUCGCGUCGGGUGUGAAAACUUGCGGCUUAACCGCAAGCCUGCACCCGAUACGGGCGGGCUAGAGUUCGGCAGGGGAGACUGGAAUUCCUGGUGUAGCGGUGGAAUGCGCAGAUAUCAGGAGGAACACCGGUGGCGAAGGCGGGUCUCUGGGCCGAUACUGACGCUGAGAAGCGAAAGCGUGGGGAUCAAACAGG